rnacentral:rRNA from 1 species
GACGAACGCUGGCGGCGUGCUUAACACAUGCAAGUCGAACGGUGAAGGGGUCUGCUUUUGUGGGCCCUGGAUGAGUGGCGAACGGGUGAGUAACACGUGAGUAAUCUGCCCCCUUCUUCUGGAUAACCGCAUGAAAGUGUGGCUAAUACGGGAUAUUCUGGGUCUGUCGCAUGAUGGGUCUGGGAAAGAUUGCGCCUUUGGGUGUUUUUGGUGGGGGAUGGGCUCGCGGCCUAUCAGCUUGUUGGUGGGGUGAUGGCCUACCAAGGCGGUGACGGGUAGCCGGCCUGAGGGGGUGGACGGUCACACUGGGACUGAGACACGGCCCAGACUCCUACGGGAGGCAGCAGUGGGGAAUAUUGCACAAUGGGCGCAAGCCUGAUGCAGCGACGCCGCGUGAGGGAUGGAGGCCUUCGGGUUGUAAACCUCUUUCGCCAGUGAAGCAGGCCUGCUCCUUGUGGGUGGGUUGACGGUAGCUGGAUAAGAAGCGCCGGCUAACUACGUG